GGAAAAGAUCUGGGAUAAAGUAGAGCUGCUAACUUUACUUUGAGAGGUUCAAAUCCAUUCCUUUUUCU
rnacentral:tRNA from 1 species